UACGAGGGGGGCGAGCGUUGUCCGGAAUCAUUGGGCGUAAAGCGCGUGUAGGCGGUCCGGUAAGUCCGCUGUGAAAGUCGGGGGCUCAACCCUCGAAUGCCGGUGGAUACUGUCGGGCUAGAGUGCGGAAGAGGCGAGUGGAAUUCCUGGUGUAGCGGUGAAAUGCGCAGAUAUCAGGAGGAACACCAAUUGCGAAGGCAGCUCGCUGGGACGUAACUGACGCUGAGACGCGAAAGCGUGGGGAGCAAACAGG
rnacentral:rRNA from 1 species